GAGCCAGCAGCCGCGGUAAUACGGAGGGGGUUAGCGUUGUUCGGAAUUACUGGGCGUAAAGCGUACGUAGGCGGAUUAGUCAGUCAGAGGUGAAAUCCCAGGGCUCAACCCUGGAACUGCCUUUGAUACUGCUAGUCUUGAGUUCGAGAGAGGUGAGUGGAAUUCCAAGUGUAGAGGUGAAAUUCGUAGAUAUUUGGAGGAACACCAGUGGCGAAGGCGGCUCACUGGCUCGAUACUGACGCUGAGGUACGAAAGUGUGGGGAGCAAACAGGAUUAGAUACCCUGGUAGUCCACACCGUAAACGAUGAAUGCCAGUCGUCGGGCAGUAUACUGUUCGGUGACACACCUAACGGAUUAAGCAUUCCGCCUGGGGAGUACGGUCGCAAGAUUAAAACUCAAAUGA
rnacentral:rRNA from 1 species